rnacentral:tmRNA from 1 species
GGGGAUGUACCGGUUUCGACGGGGUCGCCGCGUUUCGGAUUGCGGGUAGAGGGUUCCGUUGGCCUCUCUAAAAAGCGGAAAUUCUAAAUUUAAACGCAAACGAUAAUUUUGCACUUCAGGCUGCCUGAUCGCAGUCUGCGCCGCCCCCCGGGUCUCUCAAGCCUUGGACAAGCGGUGUCAAUAAGUUGAGCCCCGCGGCUUCGGGUCAAAGCCGCCCACUGCCGGCGUAUCGUCUCCUCCGCCGGAAGAUACUGUGAGACUACCGGCAUACUGAGCCUGCCUCGCGGCGCCUUAUCCGGGAACCCAAAAGCGAGACUACACCCGUAGAUAUCUGAGGCAAAGCGGUUUCGGACAGGAGUUCGAUUCUCCUCAUCUCCACCA